ACUAAACCAACAGGUGCAGACUAGGAGGAACAUGUUUGAUCUGGUCACUCACAAAACUAAACUACACCUGGCGUCUUGAGAGGAUGACUGAUCUAUCUCUCAAGCCCUGACGUCUUCUGUAAAAUACAAAGUGGGAAUCAGACAUUACAAGAUAGUGGGUUAUGUUGAACACAGUAUUCCAUUCAGAUUGGCUUUCCUGUGUCAGGCACAGAGUGUUUGGGCUGGAGCCGAGGGCACCAGUCGGUCGAACUCUGCAUCGCCAGUCAUGCUGGUUGGAACUGAGAGGACAAGUUGGCCUGUGCUUCAGCACCUCAGUGGAGCCAACAGUUCAAAUGGUGACUGGCAGCUCCAGCAAACCAACUCUUCCAGCAUAUUGUUUGUACCAAGACAGAUUGGAGAUAGAAAUGAGCAGGGAGUGGCUAUUCGUUGUAUAUGAAUUGAAG